AUAUGUAAUAAGUGGGGGGGCACCACACGAGUGGAGCUGCGGCUAAUUGGAUUCAACGCCGGACAUCUCACCAGAGGCGACAGCUGUAUGAUAGACAGGUUGAUGACUUUGCUUGACUAGCUGAGAGAGAGUGCAUGGACGCCGUCAGCUCGUACCGUGAGGCGUCCUGUUAAGUCAGGCAACGAGCGAGACCCACGCCCUUAGUUACCAGCAUAUCCUUUUUUGGAUGAUGGGCACACUAAGGGGACCGCCUAUGAUAAAUACGAGGAAGGAGUGGACGACCGUAGGUCCGUAUGCCCCGAAUCCUCUGGGCAACACGCGGGCUACAAUGGCUGAGACAAUGGGUUCCGACACCGAAAGGUGGAGGUAAUCCUCUAAACUUAGUCGUAGUUCGGAUUGAGGACUGUAACUCGUUCUCAUGAAGCUGGAAUGCGUAGUAAUCGCGAAUCAAUACGCGCGGGAUCA
rnacentral:rRNA from 1 species